GUUGAUACCUGUGGAGAGAAAAGGAAAGAGAGAGUGAGUAACACAAGGAGAAACAGAGGAAACCUGUACUUACAGUACGCUGUGUCCAGCCCAGAGGUGAAAGUCAUCCAAAGCAGAGUAACUGUGCUUUGUGUCCAAGUUGAUACCUGUGGAGAGGAAAGGAAAGAGAGAUUGAUACCUGUGGAGAGAAAAGGAGAGAGAGUGAAUAACACGAGGAGGAAUAGAGCGAAACCUGUACUUACAGUACGCUGUGUUCAGCCCAGAGGUGAGAGCCAUUCAAAGCAAACUAACUGUGAUAUUGUGCCCAAGUUGAUACCUGUGGAGAGAAUAGGAAAGAGAGAGUGAGUAACACAAGGAGAAACAGAGGAAACCUGUACUUACAGU
ensembl:lncRNA